rnacentral:rRNA from 1 species
AUGAACGCUGGCGGCGUGCCUAAUACAUGCAAGUCGAGCGAACGGACGAGAAGCUUGCUUCUCUGAUGUUAGCGGCGGACGGGUGAGUAACACGUGGAUAACCUACCUAUAAGACUGGGAUAACUUCGGGAAACCGGAGCUAAUACCGGAUGAUAUUUUGAACCGCAUGGUUCAAAAGUGAAAGACGGUCUUGCUGUCACUUAUAGAUGGAUCCGCGCUGCAUUAGCUAGUUGGUAAGGUAACGGCUUACCAAGGCAACGAUGCAUAGCCGACCUGAGAGGGUGAUCGGCCACACUGGAACUGAGACACGGUCCAAACUCCUACGGGAGGCAGCAGUAGGGAAUCUUCCGCAAUGGGCGAAAGCCUGACGGAGCAACGCCGCGUGAGUGAUGAAGGUCUUCGGAUCGUAAAACUCUGUUAUUAGGGAAGAACAUAUGUGUAAGUAACUGUGCACAUCUUGACGGUACCUAAUCAGAAAGCCACGACUAACUACGUG